AACGCACCUUGCGCCCUUUGGUAUUCCGAAGGGCAUGCCUGUUUGAGUGUCAUUAAAUUCUCAAACCUCUUACUAGUUUACUCUAGUUUUCGAGGCUUUGGAUUUGGGAGUCUUUUGCUGGAACCUAUUCAUUAGGGAUCAGCUCUCCUUAAAUGCAUUAGCGGUUAACUUGAUCCCCUUUCAUUGGUGUGAUAAUUAUCUACGCCUUUGGAAUGAUCAACAGAAUGUUAAUAGCUUCUAGUCAGUCCCUUAGUUGGACAACUUUUAUGACCAUUUGACCUCAAAUCAGGUAGGACUACCCGCUGAACUUAA
rnacentral:misc_RNA from 1 species